UGUCUGGUGAGUGAAGAAGCAUCUAAUAUCUUGAAAAUUCAGUUUUCCUUUCCUCAUAUUAUUUUCCCCAUAGUUUUCUGCCUACACAACAAAAGCUGAUCGGGCAUUGUGCUGAGGAGACCAUGCCAACUUCUUUUGUAUCAGCAUGAACGCCUCUCAUCAAAUCAAAAUAACCAGUGUUAUCAGACUUGUUUGAGCAGCCCCACAUUGCAUUUUCCAGGCCUGAGUUAUUCCUUUAUAUGGAGCUACUGCACACUGGAAACAGCUGCUGUCAGCAAAAACAGCCUAUCUGAAAACCUACAAAGCUCCACAAGCCUUAACAGCUUAACAGACCACUACAGAACAGAGGUGUGAAGUUUACUGAAGUCCAAUUGAUUAAAGUCACAUGCCAGUCUUAGCUGGAAAGCAAAGAAAAGAGAUUCAAACAAUUUCAGAGGAUGUAACUAAACCACAUGUGGUUUACCAUUGAUCUUUACCAUAAAUCAGAAGAAUGAUGAAAAUUGUGGAAAAAGGUAAUGAGAAUAAAGAAAAACAACUGUUUGCUCCCACAAAAGCAUCAAGAAGUCUCAGUAUGUGGACUUCAUGCAAGGUAGUUUUCUCCUUUCUUUCCCUUGGGAUGAUUUCUGUAUUAC
rnacentral:lncRNA from 1 species